GCUAAGUCCGUGCAUGAGGUGGCGGUGUUACGGAAGGGCCGGGCGUUAUUCGGAUUUAUUGGGUUUAAAGGGGGCGUAGGCCGGAGAUUAAGCGUGUUGUGAAAUGUAGACGCUCAACGUCUGGACUGAAGCGCGAACUGGUUUCCUUGAGUACGCACAAAGUGGGCGGAAUUCGUGGUGUAGCGGUGAAAUGCUUAGAUAUCACGAAGAACUCCGAUUGCGAAGGCAGCUCACUGGAGCGCAACUGACGCUGAAGCUCGAAAGUGCGGGUAUCGAACAGGAUUAGAUACCCCUGUAGUC
rnacentral:rRNA from 1 species